rnacentral:rRNA from 1 species
GACGAACGCUGGCGGCGCGCCUAACACAUGCAAGUCGAACGAGCGAGAGAGAGCUUGCUUUCUCGAGCGAGUGGCGAACGGGUGAGUAACGCGUGAGGAACCUGCCUCAAAGAGGGGGACAACAGCUGGAAACGACUGCUAAUACCGCAUAAGCCCACGGCCCGGCAUCGAGCAGGGGGAAAAGGAGCAAUCCGCUUUGAGAUGGCCUCGCGUCCGAUUAGCUAGUUGGUGGGGUAACGGCCCACCAAGGCGACGAUCGGUAGCCGGACUGAGAGGUUGAACGGCCACAUUGGGACUGAGACACGGCCCAGACUCCUACGGGAGGCAGCAGUGGGGAAUAUUGCACAAUGGGGGAAACCCUGACGCAGCGACGCCGCGUGGAGGAAGAAGGUCUUCGGAUUGUAAACUCCUGUUGUUGGGGAAGAUAAUGACGGUACCCAACAAGGAAGUGACGGCUAACUACGUG